AAUUCUUAAUGGUAGAUCACUUGGCUCAUGCGUCAAUGAAGAAUGUAGAUAGCUGUGAGAAUUAAUGUGACUUGCAAGACACCUUGAUCAUCGACUCUUUGAAUGCAUUUCAAAGUGGUUCCUCCAGGGGCUAUGCCUGUCUGAGCACCG
rnacentral:rRNA from 1 species